AGCCGUGUAGCUCAUUGGUAGAGCACUCCCCUGAUAAGGGAGGGGUAGACAGUUCAACUCUGUCCACGGCUACCA
rnacentral:tRNA from 1 species